UGCUUGGUCCCGUCCCAACACUACUGUGUGAGGGCAGAAACUAGGAGGUUAUGAUGUUGGCUUAAUGCAUUGCCUCUGAUCAGUGCAAAAUCGGUUGCGGCUCCACUGUGGGGGCAGGGCAGAAAGAUGAGUGGAACUUAGCGAGCUCCCCUCGGUAAUAAAAGCCCCCUUAAGUCUAUUGGACGCCUCAACAGGCAAGACUGACAAGGGCAAAGACUGUCAGGAAUUAAAGUUUGGGGUGCCUUAUGCUUGCGAAGCAAGAGGAAUUAGGACUGUAUGGUGGAGGAGGGAUACUUCAUAACUAAUGGCAAAAACAAGGAGUCUUGCUGGUCCUUAAGUUUUCUUCUUUGCCAAAUAUGUAUAUUUAUAUACUUUAAAGAAUUCCUCAUGUCUUUGACUGACUUCUUUCUCAGUAUGGAUGAAGAUGGAUAAACUCGUGCUGUUUAGACCACCAGGUCCAGAAUCAUGUUAGAAGAGCAACGGCUCUGGCGCAAAGAUCUUUAUCUUGCAGCUGGAUGCAGAAACCGAGGAGGCUUUGGUCCCCCGCCUUGGGAAGUAGUGAAGCAAAUCAAUUCAUUCAUUCCAGUGACUGUGCUGGGAAAGACUGUCAGGCUACUCCGGUUACAGAGGCUCUCUGGAACUCCCUGGUUCUGUCUCGAUCCACUGCAUGAAUAUACUUCAAUUUAUAUUUUGCUGCAGCCUUCCUUACUAUAAUGAAAGCAGACACCGCUAAGGACCUGGAGUGAAUUAACCUCAUUUGUUACCCCUUCUCCAAGACCAGUGAUGUUUCAGAAUUUGGCUCCAAAGGGAAAAUCAGUUUUCCAUAGGGCUAAAGUAUAGGCUUUCAGCAUUCCUAUGUGAUGCACUUAACGCACAGCAAUAUUGAGAUAUAACUCACACGGCCCACCAAUCACCCAUUCAAAAUAUAUACAAUUCAGUGGUUUUUAGUGUAUUCACAGAGUUGUGCAAC